GGAGGAAUACCCAAGUCCGGCUGAAGGGAUCGGUCUUGAAAACCGGCAGGGGCUUAACGGCCCGCGGGGGUUCGAAUCCCUCUUCCUCCGCCA
rnacentral:tRNA from 1 species